AUUGAACGCUGGCGGCAGGCCUAACACAUGCAAGUCGAGCGAGUGGCGGACGGGUGAGUAAUGUCUGGGAAACUGCCCGAUGGAGGGGGAUAACUACUGGAAACGGUAGCUAAUACCGCAUACCAUCGGAUGUGCCCAGAUGGGAUUAGCUAGUAGGUGGGGUAAUGGCUCACCUAGGCGACGAUCCCUAGCUGGUCUGACAGGAUGACCAGUCACACUGGAACUGAGACACGGUCCAGACUCCUACGGGAGGCAGCAGUGGGGAAUAUUGGACAAUGGGCGAAAGCCUGAUCCAGCCAUGCCGCGUGUGUGAAGAAGGUCUUCGGAUUGUAAAGUACUUUAAGUUGGGAGGCGUUACCAACAGAAUAAGCACCGGCUAACUUCGUGCCAGCCGCCGCGGUAAUAC
rnacentral:rRNA from 1 species